AGAAUCAACGCUGGCGGCGUGCCUAACACAUGCAAGUCGAACGAGAAAGGGGAGCAAUCCCUGAGUAAAGUGGCGCACGGGUGAGUAACACGUGACUAACCUACCCUUGAGUGGGGGAUAACUGAGGGAAAACCUUAGCUAAUACCGCAUAAUACCCACGGGUCAAAGGAGCAAUUCGCUCGAGGAGGGGUCGCGGCCGAUUAGUUAGUUGGCGGGGUAAUGGCCCACCAAGACGAUGAUCGGUA
rnacentral:rRNA from 1 species